GACGAACGCUGGCGGCGUGCCUAAUACAUGCAAGUUGAGCGCUGAAGGUUGGUACUUGUACCGACUGGAUGAGCAGCGAACGGGUGAGUAACGCGUGGGGAAUCUGCCUUUGAGCGGGGGACAACAUUUGGAAACGAAUGCUAAUACCGCAUAAAAACUUUAAACACAAGUUUUAAGUUUGAAAGAUGCAAUUGCAUCACUCAAAGAUGAUCCCGCGUUGUAUUAGCUAGUUGGUGAGGUAAAGGCUCACCAAGGCGAUGAUACAUAGCCGACCUGAGAGGGUGCUCGGCCCCAUUGGGACUGAGACACGGCCCAAACUCCUACGGGAGGCAGCAGUAGGGAAUCUUCGGCCAUGGACGAAAGUCUGACCGAGCAACGCCGCGUGAGUGAAGAAGGUUUUCGGAUCGUAAAACUCUGUUGGUAGAGAAGAACGUUGGUGAGAGUGGAAAGCUCAUCAAGUGACGGUAACUACCCAGAAAGGGACGGCUAACUACGUG
rnacentral:rRNA from 1 species